UACAGAGGUCCCAAGCGUUGUUCGGAUUCACUGGGCGUAAAGGGUGCGUAGGUGGUCGGGUAAGUUUGAUGUGAUAUCUCCGGGCUUAACCCGGAAACUGCAUUGAAUACUAUUCGGCUAGAGGGUUGGAGGGGAGACUGGAAUACUUGGUGUAGCAGUGAAAUGCGUAGAUAUCAAGUGGAACACCAGUGGCGAAGGCGAAUCUCUGGACAACUCCUGACACUGAAACACGAAAGCUAGGGGAGCAAACAGG
rnacentral:rRNA from 1 species